rnacentral:lncRNA from 1 species
AGUAUAGUUGAUGUGUUGGAGGAAGUUAUUUGAUGUGUUCAUGGAGGUUACAUAUUUAAUAAAUGAGUUUUUUUUUGUAUUUUUUUUAAUUUAAUAAUUGAUAGUAAUUGUAACAAUUGAUAAAGGAUAAAAUUGGAAGAAAAAAAAAGGCCAUACCAAAUUCACCUAUCCCCUUUAUAUAUAGUUAUAGAUAUAUAAAUGUAAUCAAUUAUAGAAUUUAAUUGAAAUGCAUUUGUGUUAAUCUCUUAAUUAUAA